ACAGACAACUUCUGAAACAUUGAUUAGUAGUGUAAUGACAAAAACUGGUCUCCAUUGAUAAGAAACAACACAGCAAUUGUUAGUUUAUGUAACUUAUACUGAGCAUACAGCCAGAUAAGCAUAAAUGAAACAUCCUACCACAAUCAAUUGCGAUGGAAAUCAGAGCAGACCUCUCCAGGUCAGCCUUGCACAUCCCGAUGAGAGUGAUCCUAUAAAGUUCUAGUGCCGUGUCAUCCACAAAGCCUUGGUCUGCUUCCAUCCUCCCUGCUGACCCUGAGUUGAUGUGAAGACCUCACUCUGCAUCACUGGAGAAAACUUUGGACACCUUCAUCCUCAGUAUAAGAAUGUG
ensembl:lncRNA